UCCAGCGGCCAGCGCAGUUGUGCCAUCCAAGACGACCUUGAACUUUCUUGAACCAGAAAAUGGCGGCCAGAAAGUGAUUUUUAGAAAUGAUAUUAAUUGUAUUUGCUGUUUUAUAAGCAAACUAUGAUGUGUCAUGGAAUACCUUAUCAGCCCGUGGAUACAUAAGGUCUUGCUUGCUGGCUGCAGUUGGACGCAACAGCCACACAGAGGUAGAGAUGCAGACAGUCAGGUGCCGACAGCCCAGUGCCAUCCAGCCUAGACUUGGUAACCAGUGAGAAGUCUUCAGCACUCAUCCUAGUGACAGUCCUUGGUAUCUGGGGUGGAGGGGCACUUUCUGACUCUUCAGACUGAAAGAUUGUCAAAGUCAGACGUCUGAGUUGGGAACAGCCUGGAUCAGCUGCACAUUGGAAGCCUGCCCAAUUGCCCGACAUUCAACCUUUCGGUGGACUGUUUAUCCCAGAAGAACAAGAUUGUGUCGUCGGAGUGGUCUCUACAUCCCCAAGUCUCCAAGUGGAUAAUGUUGUUGUUUUAUUCAGAUGAUGACUAUCAACAAAUGGUGACAUCAAUAAAUGACAAUGCUAACAACAAACGGCCCCAAGAUCCUGACCACAACAAAGGUGAAGAAUACUGCCUCAUCCAAGGGAGAUAAACCACUGUCAUCGCACAUGCCAAUCAAGAUUCUUCAGUCACCUACGCCUGUAGGUUCUACUACACCAAAUCAGCACCAGUUGGGACAGUGCGGUUUUCGUAGGGAGCCUUCAGUGCAGAUCAAGAGAUAUCUGCAGGCUGUGAUUGGAUGAUAUUGUAGAAGCUGAUCUGAAGUCCGGUGUUGGCAGUGUGUGAUCAUCAUCCCUUGUUUUGCCUCGCUGCGCUCUAUUACCUUGUAGAAGUUAUGAAACUUAGACAUGUACUACUACACCAAAUCAGAACCAGUUGGGACAGUGCAGUUUUCGUAGGGAGCCUUCAGUG